AGCCUGAGAAGACUCCGAUCAAUAGACGUCUGUAGUUAGAUGCUGCAGCUGUUUUAUCAGUCUGUGGUGUAGAUCUACAGUGUUCUGUUCUACGCUGCAGUCUGCUGGGGAGGAAGCAUCAAACACAAAGAUGAAGACGUCUGAACAAACUGGUGAAAAAGGCUGGACUCUGUGGAGGAUGUGGUGGAGAGAUCUACACUGAGGAAGGUGGAGACUAUUCUGAAGAACAUGGAUCACCCACUUCACGACACCCUGAUGGACCAAAGGGCCGAUGGUGGUGGACGGCUCCUCUCUCUUCACUGCAGGACAGAAAGAUUCAGAAGAUCUUUUGUACCAACAGACAUCAGACUUUAUAACUCUUCUGUAAAUAAUAGAUACCUAACUUCGAGAGGCAUGUCAAGUUAGACGACAGACAGUUGAAUUUCCCUUCAGGGAUCAAUAAAGUUCUUCUUAUUCUUAAAAGUAUGAAUCAAAUAUGAUACAAAAGGCAUUAAAGGGUUAAGGUGCUGCAGCAGCGUCUCUAUCUGGCUUCAGCGUGCACGCGCACAGGCACUAAAGUGUAACGAUGUUACGCACUCGUGCACGAGCACAUCUGCAAAAAGUUUCUAUUAGUCGAGGCGAAGCUGCCUGCAGAGUUUCUAUCUACAGUGGAGGAUACAAAGCAUCCAACAUGGAGUUGAGCUCAUGCCACAUUUGUUUUUUUUUUGCUCCUCUUCAAACACACACACACACACACACACACACACACACACACACACACGCACACACACACACACACGCAUGCACGCAUGCACGCACGAAGCAUGCUAGGACAGGACAAAGGUGCUGCCCAACUAAUAAAAAUAUGCUGCUGCAGAUUCCAAAUUCCACUGCCUGUCUGUCUUUGCCCAACACUCACACUCACACACACACACACACACACACACACACACACACACAUUAUUCCUAUAGGCAGCACAAUAAAUCCAAAAGCUGCUCCUUCUUCAUUGAGAUUCUCUAAUGUGGAAAAGUCCAUCAG